GAUGAACGCUAGCGGCAGGCUUAAUACAUGCAAGUCGAGGGGCAGCAGGUCUGUAGCAAUACAGAUGCUGGCGACCGGCAAACGGGUGCGGAACACGUACAGAACCUUCCUUUAAGCGGGGAAUAGCCCAGAGAAAUUUGGAUUAAUACCCCAUAGUAUAUUGAAGAGGCAUCUCUUUAAUAUUAAAGAUUUAUCACUUGAAGAUGGCUGUGCGGCUGAUUAGGUAGUUGGCGGGGUAACGGCCCACCAAGCCUGCGAUCAGUAACUGGUGUGAGAGCACGACCAGUCACACGGGCACUGAGACACGGGCCCGACUCCUACGGGAGGCAGCAGUAAGGAAUAUUGGUCAAUGGACGCAAGUCUGAACCAGCCAUGCCGCGUGAAGGAUGAAGGUCCUCU
rnacentral:rRNA from 1 species